rnacentral:rRNA from 1 species
CUCUAGAGAUAGAGCCUUCCCCUUCGGGGGACAAAGUGACAGGUGGUGCAUGGUUGUCGUCAGCUCGUGUCGUGAGAUGUUGGGUUAAGUCCCGCAACGAGCGCAACCCUUAAGCUUAGUUGCCAUCAUUAAGUUGGGCACUCUAAGUUGACUGCCGGUGACAAACCGGAGGAAGGUGGGGAUGACGUCAAAUCAUCAUGCCCCUUAUGAUUUGGGCUACACACGUGCUACAAUGGACAAUACAAAGGGCAGCGAAACCGCGAGGUCAAGCAAAUCCCAUAAAGUUGUUCUCAGUUCGGAUUGUAGUCUGCAACUCGACUACAUGAAGCUGGAAUCGCUAGUAAUCGUAGAUCAGCAUGCUACGGUGAAUACGUUCCCGGGUCUUGUACACACCGCCCGUCACACCACGAGAGUUUGUAACACCCGAAGCCGGUGGAGUAACCUUUUAGGAGCUAGCCGUCGAAGGUGGGACAAAUGAUUGGGGUGAAGUCGUAACAAGGUAGCCGUAUCGGAAGGUGCGGCU